ensembl:lncRNA
GAAAAAACAUCAGUGAACUUGAAUAUAGAGCAAUACAAAUUAUCUGAGCUAAAGAACAGAGUGAAAAAAAUCUAGAAAAAAAUAAACAGAAUCUUAGGGAUCUGUGAGACAAUAUACAAUGUCUAACAUUUAUUUCUUUGGACUUUCAAAGGGUAAAGGGAAAGACUGAAGUGCCAGACUAAAAUGGUGGAAUAAAAUCAAUAUGACUUCACUCUCAUACACAUAAAAACAAAAAUAGGAGGAUCCAAGAUGGCUAAAUAGGAACAUCUCUGGAGUGCAGUUCCCAGCGAGAACAACACAGAGGUGAAAGCUUCCUGAGGCUUCACCAGAAGCCGAACAGAUGCCAGGACCGUGUUUCCUCUACAGCCUGCAGAACUGUGAUGCUUCUCUCAUGGCCCUUGCCAAAAUUCAGCUGAAAGCCAGAAAGCAAAGGAACCUACUAAUGCCAUCCAUGCAGGUCAGCAUGGAGCUGGGUGAAAAUGAAUAGAAAGGAGAUCUGGAGGUGAAAGGAAAGAUGGUCAGCACACUGGAGCUUCUUAAUGCUCUGAGUAAUAUCACUAAUCUACUUUCAAAAUUGUUUUUCUUUUCAGUAGAAAGAUGUAUUCUUGGGUUUUACCAUACAUAGAAAUAACAAUAUGCUUCAUGUCUCUGACAACUUCUGGAAAAUUUCCCUAAUUAAUUCUCAACACAUUCAUGUGUAUUACAUAUCUAAUGUCCUUAACUGAUAUUGUAUAUGUAUGUUUUUUUGAGGUUAAUCAUCUCAAUACAUGGUUCAAGAGACAACAGUUCUGAAAGUCAUCCCAUAUCUUCUUAAGGCAAAAGCAAGAAGGAUUCUCCCUAAGAACUGGAACAAGACGAGGAUUUCCACUCUCACGACUCCUAUUCAAUAUAAUUCUAGAAGUCUUAGCCAGAGCAAUCAGGCAAUAGAGAGAAGUAAGAGUCAUUUAAACAGGAAAAGUGGAAGUCAAAUAAUCUCUCUUCACUGACAAUAUGAUUAUUUAUCUAGAAAACCCUAAAAGCCCAACAAAAAGCUCCUAGAACUGAUAAAUGACUUCACUAAAAUUUCAGUAUACAAAUUCAAUGUACGAAAAUCAGUAUCAUCUCUGUAUACCAAUAACAUUCAAGGUGGGCGCCAAAUUAAGAAAGCAGUCCCAUUUAUACUAGCCACAAAUAAAUGAAAACACCUAAAAAUACAUCUAACCAAGAAGAUGAAAUAGCUCUACAUGAAAAACUUGUAGAGUAAAAUACUUCUGAAAGAAACAAUAGAUGACACAAACAGGAAAGCAUUCCAUGCUCAUGGAUCGGAAGAAUCAGUAUCAUUAAAAUGACCAUACUGCUCAAAGCAAUCUAUGGAUUCAGUGCUAUUACUGUCAAACUGCCAACAUAAUUUUUGUCACAAUUAGAAAAAAACUAUUCUAAAACUCAAAUGGAACCAGAAAAGAGUCAAAAUAGCUAAAGCAAUCCUAAGCAUAAAGAGCAAAACUGGAGGUAUCACAUUACCCAACUUCAAACUAUACUGCAAGGCUACAAACUAUACUACAAGUAACCAAAACUGUAUGGUACUGGUACAAAAACUGAUAUAUAGACCAAUGGAAUAGAAUAGAAAACCCAGGAAUAAAGUUCUACAUCUACAAGCAACUGGUAUUCAACAAAGUUGACAAAAAUAAGCAACAGGGAGAGGGCUCCCUAAUUAAAUAGUGCUAGUAAAACUGACUAACCAUAUACAGAAGAAUCAAACUGGGACCCUACUUCUCACCAUAUACAAGAAUUAACUCAAAAUUGAUUAAAGACUUACGUUUAAGACCUCAACCUAUAAAAAUCCUAGAACAAAACCUAGGAAAUGCUCUUUUGAACAAUGACCUAGGCAAAGACUUUAUGACUAAGUCCUCAGAAGCAACCGCAACAAAAACAAAAAUUGACAAGUUGAACCUAAUUAGACUAAAAUGCUUAUGCACAGCAACAGAAACUAUCAACAGGGCAAACAGAUAGCCAGCAGAAUAGGAGAAAAUAUUUUCAAAUUAUGCAUCUGAGAAAGAAUAACCGGAAUAUAUAAGGAUCUUAAAUCAACAAGAAAAAAACAAUUAAAAGUUGGCAAAAGAUCUGAACAGAAACUUAAAAAAAAGACACAAAAGCAGCCGACAAACAUAUGAAAAAAUGCUUAACAUCAUUUAUCACCAGAGAAAUGCAAAUGACAACCACAGUGAGAUACCAUCUCACAUCAGUCAGAAUGGCAAUUAUUAAAAAGUCAAAAAACAAUAUAUGUUGGCAAGACUGAGAUGAAAAGGGAAUGCUUAUGCACUAUUAGUGGGAUGUAAAUUAGUUCAUCAUCUGUGGAAAGAGUCUGAUAAUUUCUCAAAGAACUAAACAGAACUAACAUUCAGCUUGGCAAUUCCAUUACUGGGUAUAUACCCAAAGGAAAAUAAACCAUUCCAUCAUAAAGACAUAUGCACACAUACAUUCACAGCAGCAGCAUUCACGAGAGCAAAGACAUGUAGUCAACCUAGGUGUUUCUCAACAGUGGACUGGAUGAAGAAAUGUGGUACAUAAACAACAUGGAAUAAUAAGGAGCCAUAAAAAUUAACAAAAUCACAGUCUUUGCAGCAACAUGGAUAGAGGUGGAGG